GAGCGUGCCAGGCUGGAACAGGCUGUAAAGGGCUGAAGCAUGUGAGCCAUCCUGACCAAUCAUUCAAAAGGCGCCCCUUGACUCCACACGGUUCAAUAGUGUCCAUUUCCCUUCUUGUAAACCCUUGUGUCUCUCUUAUAAAUAUGUAACCUCACUCAUUAAUAAAAACCAAGCAGUUUGAGUCUUUCUCUUAGUCUUUAAUCUCAAUGGUUACAUAUUAGACUCAUAAUCUCAUUUCAUACUCUAAUCUUCUCUAAAUCGAUUCUAUUCUUCUCUAAACACUCAGAUUACUCUAAACAACACUAAAAGUGUUACAU
rnacentral:lncRNA from 1 species